rnacentral:rRNA from 1 species
AGAGUUUGAUCCUGGCUCAGGACGAACGCUGGCGGCGUGCUUAACACAUGCAAGUCGAACGAGAGCGUAGAGAAAGCUUGCUUUUUCUACAAUCUAGUGGCAAACGGGUGAGUAACGCGUAAACAACCUGCCCUACGGAUGGGGACAACAGCUGGAAACGGCUGCUAAUACCGAAUACGUUCCGAAAGUCGCAUGACUGUCGGAAGAAAGGAUGGCCUCUAUUUAUAAGCUAUCGCCGGAGGAGGGGUUUGCGUCUGAUUAGCUAGUUGGGGGGGUAACGGCCCACCAAGGCGACGAUCAGUAGCCGGUCUGAGAGGAUGAACGGCCACAUUGGAACUGAGACACGGUCCAGACUCCUACGGGAGGCAGCAGUGGGGAAUCUUCCGCAAUGGGCGAAAGCCUGACGGAGCAACGCCGCGUGAGUGAAGACGGCCUUCGGGUUGUAAAGCUCUGUUAUACGGGACGAAUAGUCUUGUGGUUAAUACCCAUGAGAAGUGACGGUACCGUAAGAGAAAGCCACGGCUAACUACGUGCCAGCAGCCGCGGUAAUACGUAGGUGGCAAGCGUUGUCCGGAAUUAUUGGGCGUAAAGGGCGCGCAGGCGGCUUCUUAAGUCUGUCUUAAAAGUGCGGGGCUUAACCCCGUGAUGGGAUGGAAACUGGGAAGCUCAGAGUAUCGGAGAGGAAAGCGGAAUUCCUAGUGUAGCGGUGAAAUGCGUAGAUAUUAGGAGGAACACCAGUGGCGAAAGCGGCUUUCUGGACGAAAACUGACGCUGAGGCGCGAAAGCCAGGGGAGCGAACGGGAUUAGAUACCCCGGUAGUCCUGGCCGUAAA